GGUUAAAACUCAAAGGAAUUGACGGUGGCCCGCACAAGCGGUGGUAUCAUGUGGUUUAAUUCGAAGCAACGCGCAGAACCUUACCAUCCCUUGACAUGGCAUGUUACCUCGAGAGAUCGGGGAUCCUCUUCGGAGGCGUGCACACAGGUGCUGCAUGGCUGUCGUCAGCUCGUGUCGUGAGAUGUUGGGUUAAGUCCCGCAACGAGCGCAACCCACGUCCUUAGUUGCCAUCAUUCAGUUGGGCACUCUAGGGAGACUGCCGGUGAUAAGCCGCGAGGAAGGUGUGGAUGACGUCAAGUCCUCAUGGCCCUUACGGGAUGGGCUACACACGUGCUACAAUGGCGGUGACAGUGGGACGCGAAACCGCGAGGUUGAGCAAAUCCCCAAAAGCCGUCUCAGUUCGGAUUGCACUCUGCAACUCGGGUGCAUGAAGGCGGAAUCGCUAGUAAUCGUGGAUCAGCACGCCACGGUGAAUACGUUCCCGGGCCUUGUACACACCGCCCGUCACACCAUGGGAGUUGGUCUUACCCGACGGCGCUGCGCCAACCGCAAGGGGGCAGGCGACCACGGUAGGGUCAGCGACUGGGGUGAAGUCGUAACAAGGUAGCCGUAGGGGAACCUGCGGCUGGAUCACCUCCUU
rnacentral:rRNA from 1 species